rnacentral:rRNA from 1 species
CUCAGAUCAUGUAAGAUUUUAAUGAUCGAACAGAUCAAAAUUUUAAACUUUUGCAUUUAAAUUUUAUCUUAAUCCAACAUCGAGGUCGCAAUCUUUUUUUUUUAUUUGAACUAAAAAAAAAUAUUACGCUGUUAUCCCUAAGGUAAUUUUUUCUUAUAAUCAUUAUUAAUGGAUCAUUUAAUCAUUUAUUUAUGUUUAAUUUUUAAAAAAAGUUAAUUUAAUUUUUCUAUCACCCCAAUAUAAUAAUUAAUUUUAUUUCAAUAAAAAUUUUUAUAUAAUUUUAAAAUAAAAAUAAAUAUAAAACUCUAUAGGGUCUUCUCGUCUUUUAAAAUUAAUUUAGCUUUUUAACUAAAAAAUAAACUUCUAAAAAUAAAUAAGAGACAGUUUAUAUUUCAUCAAAUCUUUCAUACAAGUUUUCAAUUAAAAAACUAGUGAUUAUGCUACCUUUGUACAGUCAUUAUACUGCAGCCCUUUAAUUAUUAUCAGUGGGCAGAUUAGACCUUAAAUUAUAUUCAAAAAGACAUGUUUUU